rnacentral:rRNA from 1 species
AUGACAGACUUAAAUUUCUACAUAAAACCUUCUUCCUGGCAAUGCCAUUCAAAAACCAAGCAGAGCAGGGAGGGGUUGAUGCUACACACGAAUACUCGAUCAAACCUAAUGAAAGCAGAAGUAAUCACUUUGGACGAGCUGUGGAUCGAGCAUGAACUUGAUUCAAGAAAGGAUCGCGUCCCAGUCGAUCUCGAGCGACGGGUACUUGCGCAGCAGGGACUCGUCCCAUGGAGCCUCCGAGAAAUCAAGAAGCUGCAUCUCCGGGACGACGUCGGAGCACGAGGACACCUCGCCGUCAGCCGACGAAGAGCUCUCGGAGACGGAGCAGACUGGCUCGCUCUUGACGUCCGGGAAAGAAAUCGGCGUCAGUGUCGGCGUCGGCGCCGGCGUCUCAUUGCUCUGGCUCUGCGGCAUGUCUUCCCCGUGGCAGAUGGAGCGGAGCUUGGCGUCGAUCGCGGCAUCGAGCGGCGGGCCGUGGUGCUCGCCGCCGCGCCUGAGCUCGGGGAAGUUGAGCCUGGCGGACUCGCCGCGGAGCCGGAAGGCGGCGGCGUCGUAGGCCAGCGCGGCCUCGUCGGCGGUGUCGAAGGUGCCGAGCCAGAGGCGGGUGCGGUUGCGGGGCAGGCGGAUCUCCGCGACCCACUUCCCCCAAUGCCGCUGCCGCACGCCGCGGUACAGCUUGGUCGCCGGCCGCACCGGGAGCGCCGCCACGCCGUGCCGCUUCAUCGGCUGCCCCACCGCGGCCAUGGGCGCGCCCGGCGCCCGGCGCACGUGGUGGAGCUGCGACUGGAGCUGGAGGAUUUGCGCGGGAGUGAGGUAGGUGGCGCCACGAAGCAGGCCGGCGCUCUGAUCCGCGCCGGGGCAUGGGAAGGCGAACGAGAUGGUCGGAGCCGCGCCCUGCGCCGUCGGCGGAGCGAACGCGUGCAUUACCUGGUCUCUGCUGUCCACCAUGCGGUACAUCGCCGCAGGAAGAUCGGGCCUAUAGCUGCGCCAGUCCACCGUCGUCGCCAUGCCCUGUCGAUCAAGAAACGCCGACGAUUUGGAGGAAGAGAAGCCGAGGAGAGCUGGUAA